rnacentral:rRNA from 1 species
ACGAACGCUGGCGGCGUGGAUAAGACAUGCAAGUCGAACGAGAGAAUUGCUAGCUUGCUAAUAAUUCUCUAGUGGCGCACGGGUGAGUAACACGUGAGUAACCUGCCCCCGAGAGCGGGAUAGCCCUGGGAAACUGGGAUUAAUACCGCAUAGUAUCGAAAGAUUAAAGCAGCAAUGCGCUUGGGGAUGGGCUCGCGGCCUAUUAGUUAGUUGGUGAGGUAACGGCUCACCAAGGCGAUGACGGGUAGCCGGUCUGAGAGGAUGUCCGGCCACACUGGAACUGAGACACGGUCCAGACACCUACGGGUGGCAGCAGUCGAGAAUCAUUCACAAUGGGGGAAACCCUGAUGGUGCGACGCCGCGUGGGGGAAUGAAGGUCUUCGGAUUGUAAACCCCUGUCAUGUGGGAGCAAAUUAAAAAGAUAGUACCACAAGAGGAAGAGACGGCUAACUCUGUGCCAGCAGCCGCGGUAAUACAGAGGUCUCAAGCGUUGUUCGGAAUCACUGGGCGUAAAGCGUGCGUAGGCUGUUUCGUAAGUCGUGUGUGAAAGGCGCGGGCUCAACCCGCGGACGGCACAUGAUACUGCGAGACUAGAGUAAUGGAGGGGGAACCGGGAUUCUCGGUGUAGCAGUGAAAUGCGUAGAUAUCGAGAGGAACACUCGUGGCGAAGGCGGGUUCCUGGACAUUAACUGACGCUGAGGCACGAAGGCCAGGGGAGCGAAAGGGAUUAGAUACCCCUGUAGUCCUGGCAGUAAACGGUGCACGCUUGGUGUGCGGGGAAUCGACCCCCUGCGUGCCGGAGCUAACGCGUUAAGCGUGCCGCCUGGGGAGUACGGUCGCAAGAUUAAAACUCAAAGAAAUUGACGGGGACCCGCACAAGCGGUGGAGUAUGUGGCUUAAUUCGAUGCAACGCGAAGAACCUUACCUGGGCUUGACAUGUAAUGAACAACAUGUGAAAGCAUGCGACUCUUCGGAGGCGUUACACAGGUGCUGCAUGGCCGUCGUCAGCUCGUGUCGUGAGAUGUUUGGUUAAGUCCAGCAACGAGCGCAACCCCUGUUGCCAGUUACCAGCACGUGAAGGUGGGGACUCUGGCGAGACUGCCCAGAUCAACUGGGAGGAAGGUGGGGACGACGUCAGGUCAGUAUGGCCCUUAUGCCCAGGGCUGCACACGUACUACAAUGCCCAGUACAGAGGGGGCCGAAGCCGCGAGGCGGAGGAAAUCCUAAAAACUGGGCCCAGUUCGGACUGUAGGCUGCAACCCGCCUACACGAAGCCGGAAUCGCUAGUAAUGGCGCAUCAGCUACGGCGCCGUGAAUACGUUCCCGGGUCUUGUACACACCGCCCGUCACAUCAUGGAAGCCGGUCGCACCCGAAGUAUCUGAAGCCAACCGCAAGGAGGCAGGGUCCUAAGGUGAGACUGGUAACUGGGAUG